rnacentral:rRNA from 1 species
AGCCUUUCGGGGUGGAUUAGUGGCGAACGGGUGAGUAACACGUGGGCAAUCUGCCCUGCACUCUGGGACAAGCCCUGGAAACGGGGUCUAAUACCGGAUAAUACCUUCCCUCGCAUGGGGGUGGGUUCAAAGCUCCGGCGGUGCAGGAUGAGCCCGCGGCCUAUCAGCUUGUUGGUGAGGUAGUGGCUCACCAAGGCGACGACGGGUAGCCGGCCUGAGAGGGCGACCGGCCACACUGGGACUGAGACACGGCCCAGACUCCUACGGGAGGCAGCAGUGGGGAAUAUUGCACAAUGGGCGAAAGCCUGAUGCAGCGACGCCGCGUGAGGGAUGACGGCCUUCGGGUUGUAAACCUCUUUCAGCAGGGAAGAAGCGCAAGUGACGGUACCUGCAGAAGAAGCGCCGGCUAACUACGUGCCAGCAGCCGCGGUAAUACGUAGGGCGCAAGCGUUGUCCGGAAUUAUUGGGCGUAAAGAGCUCGUAGGCGGUCUGUCGCGUCGGAUGUGAAAGCCCGGGGCUUAACCCCGGGUCUGCAUUCGAUACGGGCAGACUAGAGUGUGGUAGGGGAGAUCGGAAUUCCUGGUGUAGCGGUGAAAUGCGCAGAUAUCAGGAGGAACACCGGUGGCGAAGGCGGAUCUCUGGGCCAUUACUGACGCUGAGGAGCGAAAGCGUGGGGAGCGAACAGGAUUAGAUACCCUGGUAGUCCACGCCGUAAACGGUGGGAACUAGGUGUUGGCGACAUUCCACGUCGUCGGUGCCGCAGCUAACGCAUUAAGUUCCCCGCCUGGGGAGUACGGCCGC